rnacentral:misc_RNA from 1 species
AUAUAUAUAUAUAUAUAUGGUGUGAUAUCUAUGGAACGGUAUAUCUUUAGUUGGAAGACGAAGGCUUUGUUUUAUGGAAGAAACUAAUAUUAUUCUUCCUGAUUUUGUUGUGAAGAUGGAUGUUUUGUUAUCUGAUUUGUAGUUAUUGGUUGCAAGUAAUAACUCCUUUUAACUACAAAUCAGAUAACAAAACAUCCAUCUUCAC